GGGAUAGCCGCCCGAAAGGACGGGUAAUACCGGAUACCCCCGGGCGCCGCAUGGCGCCCGGGCUAAAGCCCCGACGGGAGGGGAUGGCUCCGCGGCCCAUCAGGUAGACGGCGGGGUGACGGCCCACCGUGCCGACAACGGGUAGCCGGGUUGAGAGACCGACCGGCCAGAUUGGGACUGAGACACGGCCCAGACUCCUACGGGAGGCAGCAGUGGGGAAUCUUGCGCAAUGGGGGGAACCCUGACGCAGCGACGCCGCGUGCGGGACGGAGGCCUUCGGGUCGUAAACCGCUUUCAGCAGGGAAGAGUCAAGACUGUACCUGCAGAAGAAGCCCCGGCUAACUACGUGCCAGCAGCCGCGGUAAUACGUAGGGGGCGAGCGUUAUCCGGAUUCAUUGGGCGUAAAGCGCGCGUAGGCGGCCCGGCAGGCCGGGGGUCGAAGCGGGGGGCUCAACCCCCCGAAGCCCCCGGAACCUCCGCGGCUUGGGUCCGGUAGGGGAGGGUGGAACACCCGGUGUAGCGGUGGAAUGCGCAGAUAUCGGGUGGAACACCGGUGGCGAAGGCGGCCCUCUGGGCCGAGACCGACGCUGAGGCGCGAAAGCUGGGGGAGCGAACAGGAUUAGAUACCCUGGUAGUCCCAGCCGUAAACGAUGGACGCUAGGUGUGGGGGGACGAUCCCCCCGUGCCGCAG
rnacentral:rRNA from 1 species